ACACAUGUAUAUAUGCUGUGCUCAUUUUAGGAGUACAUGACAUUGGUGUAAACAAGAGUUCAUAAAAUAUGUUGAUAUUGCUUGACAUUUACUAUGCCCCACUUCAAAACGGACCUCAGAGGAAAAGUGAAGGAGUUUUGGUUAUGAAGGGGCGGGGCUGUUUUCACACCCCAAAACGUCACAGUUACGUUGCAGGAAACGAGUUUCUACAGCUACCCUCCCCCACAUCACACUCGCUGACCAUCAAUUAGGAAACGCGCGCUUUGCUACCUGCACAAAAGGAAGGCGUUGAGAAGAGUGAGCGUACGAGUCAGCAUCAUCGAGAAAAACCCAGAAAGUGACAAAUACUUCAGAAUUAAAGCAGAUGGACAAUCCCACUGAAGAUGGUAAUUAUUCUGACUCAGUCUUUUUGGAUCAGAUGAGGAAUACAAACCAACUAAGACAUCCUCUGAGUCGAGUGAUGGCGAGGAGAUAUUCCAUCCAAAGGUAGAAAAAUUGUUCUCUUAUGAUACAUCCAGUGAAGACUCUACAAGUCAUCAGACAUAUGAAGCAGAGGAGCACAGUCACGUCUGCAAUUCGUAAAGAAGGUAACCCAUUAACCUAUGUAAAAACAAAA